CGACGUUUAAAAGAAGAAUAUGCAAAGGGAAUCAUCACCCUGUUCCCAUGCUUGGCUGACCCAAGGAGCAAGCUUGGAUAUGAGCAUUUUUACAAUGCAGAAGAUGGAAGUGGAUAUCUGGCAUGGAGAAUAAAAACUCUGCAGAAAGAAGCAUCAGAGGGACGGAUGAAACGGCCACGACAACCACAAACAGGUGGGCCAACUACUGACAGAGAUCCCUUCAAAGAAGACACCUGGUUGAAUGAUGAACGUCAGUGUCAGGAAGCAAUUGCCCUGAUGAAACAGCUGACGAGGCAGUGGUAAAGGAAAAGAUGAGGUUAACACUUGCCUAUCGCCAGAAGAUGCUGCAUGACCCUAAAGAGUCCUCUGAUAUUCUUUCUAUUUUCCCGCGUUUCAUUGAUAUACCAGGCUUGAUUGAUCAAGAUUUUGGACUUCUAUUUGGUGAUGCGACCUCUGCAAAGUUGUUGGAGAAGUGGUCUAACAACAUAAAACCAAAGGUUAUUGCACAGAGCCGUGGCCUCACACAGACUAGUGAGCUCCAAGACCUCAUCCAAAAUGCUGAAGCCACUGAAGUUGAAGAAGGUUGGGACAGCGACAUGUCUUCCAUUCUGAUGCUGGUUCACCUUUUGCCACCCUCAAGUCAAGGCCGCAAAACACCAGGAAAGAUCUCAGCGAGAAAAGCAUGUGAUUGUCUUGUGAAAUUCAUCAAGACCGGUACCAGUAUCCAAGGGCACUUGGAUACCAUUGGAGAGAGCCUCCAGCCAUAUCUGCUUGUUGUUGGGCCAAGGAGAAGUAGGGUCCACUCUUGUUUUAUUGUUAUUGACAAACAUGCUCUACCCUGUAAGGCCUCUAAUUCACUGGCCUGUGUUGAUGAGCUUUUCAAAGCUCACUUUGUCUUUGGCACCUCAUACUGUCAGGAACUUACCAAUGUGUACAACUUUCUGCAAACCACUGUCUAUGACAUAGAUGUUGAAACCACCAAGGUGAAUCCUAGAGUGGCUGAGUUACGAGCUAGAAUGCUCCAGUGAGCAGAUGAUUUGUUUCAUAUGUAAAAGGGGGCAUGCUAGUGCCAAUGCCCUUAUAAGGCACUUUAAGUUAGUUCAUGGCCUUUGUCCAGGCAAAAGUUUGAAGUUAAAAUGUGCUCAAAGAGGUUGUUCACAUGUUUACCAUAGUUUUUCUGGAUUACGAAAGCAUCUCAGCAAGUGUUGUGCGAUUGACCGUUCACACCUCGAUUAUGGUGAAAGCUCAUCCAAAGCCAACUCCAUUUCACUAGGGGAUGUAGGUGUUUUACCAAACCAAAAUUCAACUUGUGAGUCUGUACUCCCAAAAAACAAAUAUAGAAAACAGUUGUGCAACAGUGGUAGCCGAACUUAAAGUUGCUGGUGUCGCAGAGACAACUAUUAACUAUGUUGUUAGUGCUCUAGAAGAAGUGGUUGGAGACGUUUAUAGUCAAACACAAGAGUCUGUGAAAAAGAGCUUAUCUUUAGAGGAGCCCAUAAAAAGUUUGGUUGAGUCUCAAAUUGAUCAGUGUUUUGAAAAAAUGCAAAAUCCUUUUGUGGCAUUAAACACUGAGAGUAAGAGAAUGCAGUACUUUUCGGACAAAUGGGGGAAAAUAGAUCCUGUUGAAUAUGUUCUCGGUACAAGAUUUGCUACACGGCGUAAUAGAACAAUUGGAACUUUCGCCCAAACCAUUGUUAAGGAUAAAUUUGUAUAUAUACCAAUUCUUGAGACAAUACAGUCGAUUUAUAAGCACCCUAACAUUAAAGAUAUGAUGAUGAGGGAUUCACAACAAAUACCAAAUUUUCUUUAUGACAUACAAGAUGGAGAAUUAUUUAAGAAUCAUGCGCUCUUUUCAAAACAAAGACAUGCUGUUCAGAUCCAGCUUUUUUUUGAUGAAUUUGAAUGCUCAAAUCCCCUUGGAUCAAAAAAGGGAAUACAUAAAUUAGGAGCUAUCUAUUUUACCCU